UUUCGUGGGCCCGCUCAACCCUUAACGCAUCUUAUAGUCGUGGGAGAUGGCGGCUUCACACAGCUGUCCCUUAAAGUCCAGCUCCAGGGUGAACUCCAGGUCACGCUGUGGACGUCCCAGCAAGAACAGAAACAGUCAGCUGGUGCAAGAAGACACUUUUCAAGGUGGGUUUCUUUACCACAUUCUUCUCGUUGGGCCUGAUGGCGAUGCUGCCGAAUAUCUCCUCGCCCUUCUUCACAGUCAGGUAGUCCUCCAAGUAGAACACCGUCUGUUUCCAGUGCGUGCUGGCAGCGUCUGGAGCUGAGAAGAGCAAAGCAGUCGGAAAGGAGGAGAGCAUCCCCAGACGACGUGUGAACAUGGAGGACAUCGCCCAGAUGUUAGCAGCGGUCAUCCUCAGCCUCGGGCCCAACAAUUGAAGCCAAACAUAGAACCUCCUCUACCGCACGUUAUGGAGCUCCACCUCCUCCACCUUGCCUUUGAAGAUGGUGAUGACUGCAUGCGGGGAAAAGAAACUAAGCUGCAGGACAAUUCCAGCUUCUUUUGGACCAUCUUUGGACAUCUGUGGGCGUAUUUUGCUGGUAAGUAUUUUACACCAUGUAUUUGUAAUAUUUACUAUUACGGGGCGGUUUAGGGGCUUCACGGUGGCAGAGGGGUUAGUGCGUCUGCCUCACAAUACGAAGUUCCUGCAGUCCUGGGUUCAAAUCCAGGCUCGGGAUCUUUCUGUGUGGAGUUUGCAUGUUCUCCCCGUGAAUGCGUGGGUUCCCUCCGGGUACUCCGGCUUCCUCCCACUUCCAAAGACAUGCACCUGGGGAUAGGUUGAUUGGCAACACUAAAAUUGGCCCUAGUGUGUGAAUGUGGGUGUGAAUGUUGUCUGUCUAUCUGUGUUGGCCCUGCGAUGAGGUGGCGACUUG